rnacentral:tRNA from 1 species
GGAUUUGUGCCCGAAUGACCAAGGACCACUUUGAUAGAGUGCUUUACGGGGGUUCAACCCCCCCCAAAUCCU